AGAAUCAACGCUGGCGGCGUGCCUAACACAUGCAAGUCGAACGAGAAAGGGUAGCAAUACCUGAGUAAAGUGGCGCACGGGUGAGUAACACGUGACUAACCUACCUUUUAGUGGGGGGAUAACCUAGGGAAACCUGGGCUAAUACCGCAUAAUACCUACGGGUCAAAGCAGCAAUGCGCUGAAUGAGGGGGUCGCGGUCGAUUAGUUAGUUGGCAGGGUAAUGGCCUACCAAGACUGUGAUCGAUAUCCGGCCUGAGAGGGCGCACGGACACACUGGAACUGAAACACGGUCCAGACUCCUACGGGAGGCAGCAGUGGGAAUUUUGCGCAAUGGGGGAAACCCUGACGCAGCAACGCCGCGUGGAGGAUGAAGUCCCUUGGGACGUAAACUCCUUUCGAUCGGGACGAUAAUGACGGUACCGGAAGAAGAAGCCCGGCUAACUUCGCGCCAGCAGCCGC
rnacentral:rRNA from 1 species